UACGAAGGGGGCUAGCGUUGCUCGGAAUUACUGGGCGUAAAGGGCGCGUAGGCGGCACUGUUAGUCAGGCGUGAAAGUCCUGGGCUCAACCUGGGAACUGCGCUUGAUACGGCAGAGCUAGAGGAUGGAAGAGGGUCGCGGAAUUCCCAGUGUAGAGGUGAAAUUCGUAGAUAUUGGGAAGAACACCGGUGGCGAAGGCGGCGACCUGGCCCGAUACUGACGCUGAGGCACGAAAGCGUGGGGAGCAAACAGG
rnacentral:rRNA from 1 species